rnacentral:rRNA from 1 species
GGGAAUCUUCCACAAUGGGCGCAAGCCUGAUGGAGCAACGCCGCGUGUGUGAUGAAGGCUUUCGGGUCGUAAAGCACUGUUGUAUGGGAAGAAAUGCUAAAAUAGGGAAUGAUUUUAGUUUGACGGUACCAUACCAGAAAGGGACGGCUAAAUACGUGCCAGCAGCCGCGGUAAUAA